rnacentral:rRNA from 1 species
CUACCAUGCAGCCGAGCGGUAUUGUUUCUUCGGAAAUGAGAGAGCGGCGUACGGGUGCGGAACACGUGUGCAACCUGCCUUUAUCAGGGGGAUAGCCUUUCGAAAGGAAGAUUAAUACCCCAUAAUAUAUUAGAUGGCAUCAUUUGAUAUUGAAAACUACGGUGGAUAAAGAUGGGCACGCGCAAGAUUAGAUAGUUGGUAGGGUAACGGCCUACCAAGUCAAUGAUCUUUAGGGGGCCUGAGAGGGUGAUCCCCCACACUGGUACUGAGACACGGACCAGACUCCUACGGGAGGCAGCAGUGAGGAAUAUUGGACAAUGGGUGAGAGCCUGAUCCAGCCAUCCCGCGUGAAGGACGACGGCUCUAUGGGUUGUAAACUUCUUUUGUAUAGGGAUAAACCUUUCCACGUGUGGAAAGCUGAAGGUACUAUACGAAUAAGCACCGGCUAACUCCGUGCCAGCAGCCGCGGUAAUACGGAGGGUGCAAGCGUUAUCCGGAUUUAUUGGGUUUAAAGGGUCCGUAGGCGGAUCUGUAAGUCAGUGGUGAAAUCUCACAGCUUAACUGUGAAACUGCCAUUGAUACUGCAGGUCUUGAGUAAGGUAGAAGUGGCUGGAAUAAGUAGUGUAGCGGUGAAAUGCAUAGAUAUUACUUAGAACACCAAUUGCGAAGGCAGGUCACUAUGUCUUAACUGACGCUGAUGGACGAAAGCGUGGGGAGCGAACAGGAUUAGAUACCCUGGUAGUCCACGCCGUAAACGAUGCUAACUCGUUUUUGGGUUUUCGGAUUCAGAGACUAAGCGAAAGUGAUAAGUUAGCCACCUGGGGAGUACGUUCGCAAGAAUGAAACUCAAAGGAAUUGACGGGGGCCCGCACAAGCGGUGGAUUAUGUGGUUUAAUUCGAUGAUACGCGAGGAACCUUACCAAGACUUAAAUGGGAAAUGACAGAUUUAGAAAUAGAUCCUUCUUCGGACAUUUUUCAAGGUGCUGCAUGGUUGUCGUCA